GCCGCGGGCGGAAGGAACAGCUGCACAGGGAGGAAGAGUCCCCAGUCCCGAGGGAGAGGCCGGGGUGGGCUGGGGUGGGCUGGGGCUCUGUGUCCCAGGCCCCAGCCUCCGCAGCUUCAGCAGGUGGCAGGACCCUGCACUGGGCAGGGGCCUUCCCUCGUCCACGCAGGGGCCACUGCGCCGAGCCAGGCUUCUGAUCCUCGGGGUCCAGCGGAAUGACCAGGAAACGAAGUCCCUUGAAGAGGGCCUAACUCCUUCUCCAAGGAGCCUGCAGUCUCAUGGGAGAGGUGGACAAACACUGGAAAGUGAAUCAACAUUCUGUGUCACUCAGGGUUGGAAAGCUGGGCAGGGGAUGUGACUGGCUGGAGCGGUGCUGGUUUUGAAGAUGGCCAGCGAGGGUCUAUCUGAGAAGGUGACAUUGGAGCAGAGAUCUAGUAAGAGGUUGAAAUAAGAAGUACACACUCCUCAUUGGAUGUUGGGAGAACGUGCGUUACCUGUGCGUAAAGCUGAGCGCGGCCGUGGAGGAGCUCGCCUUCCCCUUGCAGCUCCCCUCCCACCCCUGGAGAAAAAUUAACCAGAUAGUUAAAUGCAACCUUGGUGUUGGGCCUCACAAGUCAGCUGGGAUGAGGGGCUGCCACCAUCUGAUGACUCCAAGGACUUCCUGGCUGGGGUAACCCUGCCUUUCAGUCCACAAACACAUGAUUCAUCACGAAGGAAGAUGCAGGGCAGUAGGUGUUGGGGGCUGGGCAGGGCCCCUGCAGCCUUUGCAGAUGACCAGCUGGUCUCAGAUGGCGGGAGGUCGUGGGGUUGGGCCUUGGGAAGGAGCUUGCCCUGGGACCUGUCUGUCUCCCAGCCUCUUUUUCUCUCUCUUCCUUUGUUCUUUUAAACUCUGACCCUAUUACACACGUGAAUUCUUUUUAUCAAAAUCUUGAACAUGUAGAAUUUCUUUUCUGUGGUCACAGUUGCAGUUUUACAUGUGUCCGGGUGAUUCUCUGUGUUCCCCACCAAUCGUGGGUUCUAGAGUGGAUGAAGACUAGCAUUUUUAUUAAUUCCUGUUUCCCCCCAACAAGGACUAACAAAUGUAUUUUCCCACACAAAUCUUAAGAACCUGCAAGUUUGUCUCUACCGCUUAUAUUUUUUGGGGGGGGGGCUUGUGGGGACCCUUGUCAUCGAGAUUUGCUGUCAAUCUUGUUCAUGGGACUUUGGUUUUGCUACCUUAUUGCUUUGCACGUUCUUACAUGGGGACUUGGAAAGAUACAAAACCUGUUUUAUACCACAGCCCCUGCCGUGCUCCCCAGAACCUCAUGAAAAAUGUCAGCACUCAGACGUCCAGUGAUGGUUCUCCUUGGAGCCCAGAGAUGACCUUGGUGCCAGUUUGGGGCUCCUUGAUGUAUUUCAUGUGUAUCUAGCAAACUCAGGACCCAGCCCCGUUCUUACACAAAGAACAGUUGGCCAUACACGCUGCUUUGCUUCUUGCUUUUUGUAUUGCGUUAACAGAGUGCGUGACUAUUUUCCAGAUUAAUGUACCUAGUACUUUCCCAUUUAAAAAUAAAAAUGGCUGUUCGUAAA